GAGACCCACGCCAACAGUUGCCAGCAUGUCCUCCGGGAUGGUGGGGACACUGUUGGGACCGCCUCUGCUAAAGAGGAGGAAGGAAUGGGCAACGGUAGGUCAGCAUGCCCCGAAUUACCCGGGCUACACGCGGGCUACAAUGGUCAGGACAAUGGGUAUCGACACCGAGAGGUGAAGGCAAUCUCUUAAACCUGUCCUUAGUUCGGAUUGUGGGCUGCAACUCGCCCACAUGAAGCUGGGAUCCGUAGUAAUCGCGUCUCAAAAUGGCGCGGUGAAUAU
rnacentral:rRNA from 1 species